CUAAGAAUUUUUCCUUGCUGUCUUGCAUAUCCCAACAGGCCUCCCUUCAUUCUUACAGUGUGACUGACCUAAAUUGAAAAUAUGAAGAGGACCCAUGGGCUAAAAGGCAGUUGGUUGCCUCCACCCUUUGACUAUUGUGAACAGUGCUGCUAUGAACAUGAGUGUGCAAAUAUACUUUCAAGAUCCUGGUUUCAAUUCUUUUGAGAUUACCCAGAAGUAGAAUCAGUGGAACAUACGGAAGAAGAUUAUGGGCAAGUACUGCAAGAACUGGCAACAGUCUCAUAUUAUGUGGACAACUCUAC
rnacentral:lncRNA from 10 species